rnacentral:rRNA from 1 species
GACGAACGCUGGCGGCGUGCUUAACACAUGCAAGUCGAACGGAAAGGCCCUGCUUUUGUGGGGUGCUCGAGUGGCGAACGGGUGAGUAACACGUGAGUAACCUGCCCUUGACUUUGGGAUAACUUCAGGAAACUGGGGCUAAUACCGGAUAGGAGCUCCUGCUGCAUGGUGGGGGUUGGAAAGUUUCGGCGGUUGGGGAUGGACUCGCGGCUUAUCAGCUUGUUGGUGGGGUAGUGGCUUACCAAGGCUUUGACGGGUAGCCGGCCUGAGAGGGUGACCGGCCACAUUGGGACUGAGAUACGGCCCAGACUCCUACGGGAGGCAGCAGUGGGGAAUAUUGCACAAUGGGCGGAAGCCUGAUGCAGCAACGCCGCGUGCGGGAUGACGGCCUUCGGGUUGUAAACCGCUUUCGCCUGUGACGAAGCGUGAGUGACGGUAAUGGGUAAAGAAGCACCGGCUAACUACGUGCCAGCAGCCGCGGUGAUACGUAGGGUGCGAGCGUUGUCCGGAUUUAUUGGGCGUAAAGGGCUCGUAGGUGGUUGAUCGCGUCGGAAGUGUAAUCUUGGGGCUUAACCCUGAGCGUGCUUUCGAUACGGGUUGACUUGAGGAAGGUAGGGGAGAAUGGAAUUCCUGGUGGAGCGGUGGAAUGCGCAGAUAUCAGGAGGAACUCCAGUGGCGAAGGCGGUUCUCUGGGCCUUUCCUGACGCUGAGGAGCGAAAGCGUGGGGAGCGAACAGGCUUAGAUACCCUGGUAGUCCACGCUGUAAACGGUGGGUACUAGGUGUGGGGUCCAUUCCACGGGUUCCGUGCCGUAGCUAACGCUUUAAGUACCCCGCCUGGGGAGUACGGCCGCAAGGCUAAACCUCAAAGGAAUUGACGGGGCCCCGCACAAGCGGCGGAGCAUGCGGAUUAAUUCGAUGCAACGCGUAGAACCUUACCUGGGUUUGACAUGGAUCGGGAGUGCUCAGAGAUGGGUGUGCCUCUUUUGGGGUCGGUUCACAGGUGGUGCAUGGCUGUCGUCAGCUCGUGUCGUGAGAUGUUGGGUUAAGUCCCGCAACGAGCGCAACCCUUGUUCACUGUUGCCAGCACGUUAUGGUGGGGACUCAGUGGAGACCGCCGGGGUCAACUCGGAGGAAGGUGGGGAUGACGUCAAGUCAUCAUGCCCCUUAUGUCCAGGGCUUCACGCAUGCUACAAUGGCUGGUACAGAGAGUGGCGAGCCUGUGAGGGUGAGCGAAUCUCGGAAAGCCGGUCUCAGUUCGGAUUGGGGUCUGCAACUCGACCUCAUGAAGUCGGAGUCGCUAGUAAUCGCAGAUCAGCAACGCUGCGGUGAAUACGUUCCCGGGGCU